UUCUUCUCUGAUUGCCUCUUGAUCCACUGCGCCCGGCCGUCUUCAUUUUUUAAAACUGACAUCUUUUGUUGCACAGAACCCUUUCAUUUUUUUAUGCAGUUGAAUAUUUGAAUCUUUUUCUUUCAAGGCUUGUGAUUUUUGUGUUUUGUUUAAGAAAUGUUCCUCUACACCAAGGUCAUAACAUUUUCUCAUAUUCAUUCCUCCUUUAAAUUUGUUAAUACGAUCAAUCUGGAUUAUGUCGAGAGGGAAGGGGAAGUCUGAUCUGUCCCUUUAGAGGUGACUUUGCAUAUCUCACCAGGAUUCUUUGGUGUUGACUUCAUGGCUUAACUCUGUAGAUAGUCCUGUUCUCCUUAUUUACAGGUUGCAAGGAAAGCUUUAUUGAAAUGUCCAAAUCUUAGGCAGAUUUUUAUUUAAUGGACCUGUGGCAGGGCCCAAGAACCUGCAUUUUUAUUUGCAACCCAGGUGAUUUUGAUGAAAGAGGUUUCCUUUUAAAUUAUUGAUAGUGCUGAAGCCAUCUUCUCAGGUGUCCAGCAACUUGGAAAUGAACCUACUCUUUGUUGGCUGGUGAUUGAGCCUUGCUCUGCCUUGGUUCCUCUUUGGUAAAAGUGGAUGGCCAAAGUCCCUCCUGGGAGAUGGGGAGUCCCAUGAUGAGUGGGAUGACUCUCACAUAUAAAAGUUUAGCCCGCCUUGCAUUUGUCAGACACUCAGUAAACAGUGGACCUUCCUUAACUCCUGAGGUCCCAAGCUCAGGGUUGAGCCUGCCCUGCCUCCCUUCUAGACCAUCUCCCACCAUGCACCCAACUUGGGCAAGUCCCAUAACCCCUCACAGCCUCAAUGCCAUCAUCUGUAAAUUCAUUAAUUUGCUGGCUGGGCACAGUGGCUCACAUCUAUAAACCUAGCACUUUGGGAGUCUGAGGCUGGAGGAUUGCUUGAGCCCAAGGGUUUGAGACCAGCCUGGGCAACAUAGUGAGACGCUAUCUCUACAAAAAACUUUUAAAAAUUAGC
rnacentral:lncRNA from 1 species